rnacentral:misc_RNA from 1 species
AUGAAUUGCUAAGGACGUUCUUUUUAGAAGUCCGACCCAACUUCAUUCUCACCCACACUGUGCACACACACACACACUUUACACCCACACCUUUAAAACUCGUAUAAAAAGUAGUACAAGAAUGUAAAAGUCUCUUAAUUGAGCAUAAACAAAUAAAU